rnacentral:misc_RNA from 1 species
CUUGAAAGAAUUACGGUUGAAAAAAAAGUAAUAUUCCUAAUAUCUUUCGUAAAGGAAUAUAAAUAAAUGUCUAGCUUUAUUGUUGAAAUGUACAUUUAUGUAAAUACUUCAUGUGUCCUCUUAAUGCUUCAUUGAUUCUAUGAUGUUUCAUCUCAUCGAAGUGAAACAUUUAAUUUUGGGAUAGUUAUGGAGGCCAAUGAUAUGUGGA